CGGCGUCGCCGCAGCGCGCACAUGACCGGCUGCGCCCCUGCCCGUCAUCUGGGCCCUAUAUAGCGGGGCGGGGGGCGGCGGACGGGGCUGCGCGGCCGGCGGGGGAGCCGCCGGGGCCGGCGGAGGAACUCGGCCGCCUGCCCGGGCCGAGGCCGCGCGGCCGGGAGCUGCUGUCCCGCCUGCACCGGCACCAACUUUUUGGAGAGGGAGCCAAGCGUGGAGCCUUUCCCAGGAGCGCGCCGCCCCGCCAGGGUCACAGCAGGGCAGCACUUCAGAACAGAGACCCGUCCAGGCCCAGGAGAGCACAGGCUCCUGAAGUUAUGGCUGUUCCUCCAAGCACAUCCUGCACCUUUGUCCGGAGCGCUCUGAAGGAGCAGCGCUGCGUCUUCAGCAUCUAAUGGCUGCAAUCAACAUUCAUUGCUGUCGGUGGGUUUUCUUUUCUGUCAACUCACUGAUCAAUGAAUGCAAACUGCGGACCAGCCAGCUCGGAGAGCGCAGCCACGCAGCUCGGGCGGCUCCCGCUGAAGCAGCGUUGUACUCGAGCCAUGUCUACGUAACCGCGUAAGGCACAUCUGCAGCUCUGCCAUCAUCUCGAGGUUCAGGACACAUCAUCCAGCUCCUUCAGGAGCACAGUGCUCUCUGCCAUCUGAAGCCCCUGCGACAAUAUCUCACAGCAGUAACUUCUGGAUAAAAUAAGUAUUUCUUCUAGAAAAGCAGACGUUGGAACAAGGCAGACACAGCUUUUUAGACGUACAGACUGUAUGAAGCAUUCCAGGCACCUGGAGCUUCACCUGCUAAUAGGAAAUGAAGCUUCCUCCUGCCUGGCUUUGGAUUGACAGGGCCGGGAAUGGGAGGGGGCAAAGCAGAAAAUCUCGUUUCCUCCUCCAUUUGCUUAUAGGAUUAUUUUAAAGCAGCCUGUUCAGACAUGCUGUGCUCAAACCCCACAAUAACCAUCUCCAUAAGCUUGCUGUUCAGUUCAAGGCAGAACUUACUAAUGACACUUAAAUUCCAGUUAGGUGAACGUUCAAAAUAAAUCCCUGUUUGCUUGUUCUUCUAAAAGGCUUAAAUGGGUUCAAUUCUAUACAGGAGCAGCUUCACGGAGUUCAACAGUUACAAGCUAAACAGACUGAACUCUUUGCAAAACUGGGGCUUUAGAAAAAGAUCUCCCCUCUCCCGCAGUCUGCCAGCCACCCAUAGCCAUCGUUUCUACCGAGCCCCUCGGAAAGCACCGCAGCUUGAUACAGGGAAUUCACUGCAGCAGCACGGAAGUGAAGAGCCGGGAGCAUCCCCACCGGAAAAACAGAGGGGCCGGCACCAUUUGCUAAUGCACCACGAGCAGAGGCCUCAGCAGCCGCUCCAGAGCUCAGAUGCUCUGGAUGCACAAAUAAGCUUAAGAAUUCCGUUUUCUACUCUGGUGUGAAAAUCCUCAAGGUUUUUUUGCUUUAAUCACGUUUGGUAAUGAGAUGGCAAGGGGAAAAAAACCUUCCUAGGGGAAAACAGGUUAGCAGACAUGUUCAGAAUGUUUGAAACUCCAUGCUUGGGAAGCUUUAGAUGUUUCUGGCACCAGCUGUUCACCCUGUACCAGACAUGAGCGGAGCAGAGCAGAACUGCCUGCCCCAGCACCAGCACUGAGCACCAGCACGGCCAGGGCCAGCAGAGCAGAGCCGCCUGCCCCAGCACCAGCACUGAGCACCAGCACGGCCAGGGCCAGCAGAGCAGAACUGCCUGCCCCAGCACCAGCGCUGAGCACCAGCACGGCCAGGGCCAGCAGAGCAGAGCCGCCUGCCCCAGCACCAGCACUGAGCACCAGCACGGCCAGGGCCAGCAGAGCAGAACUGCCUGCCCCAGCACCAGCACUGAGCACCAGCACGGCCAGGACCAGCAGAGCAGAGCCACCUGCCCCAGCACUGAGCACCAGCACAGCCAGGGCCAGCAGAGCAGAGCCGCCUGCCCCAGCACCAGCGCUGAGCACCAGCACGGCCAGGGCCAGCAGAGCAGAGCCGCCUGCCCCAGCACCAGCGCUGAGCACCAGCACGGCCAGGGCCAGCACUGCAGACCUGGGCUGGGAACCCCCCAGCUGUGGGGUCCCUGUGCCCGCACCCCGGCUGCUGCGGCUCCACCUGCCCACCAGCACUGAGGGUUGAUCAAAGACAGGGAGACAUCAAAAGAACUCAAGGAGCUCAGUUUAUUUAGUUUAUCAGAAGUUUAUAUAAAUAUCUUCAUAGGGAACAGAGGUUUGACAAGCAUUUUUCAGUUUGGUGAAAGAGAGAGAGACAAGAAAGCUGUAGCUAGACAAAUUGAGGCUAGCAAUAAUAUACAAUUAAGGGAAAAAGAGGGUCAUUCAGUUCAUGUUAGAUGGCCCUGCUUUUAGUAUUUGGCAGAUACAUUGAGAUGUGAGAAUACGAUGGAAAAUUUAGGGUUUAGUACUAUUUAAUGCAUGAGAGGCCUCAAUGCAGCAGAUCUGAGCCAUGUCAGGCUAUGAAGGUUCAACAGAAUAAUAGCCAAUAUAUCUUCAUAAACUAUACAUGUGUCUAAACAGCAAUUUAAAUGAUUCUACAUGUGCAUGUGAAAUUAUCUGUUUCCUUAUACAAGUGUGAACUGCAUGAAAGCCUAGCUAGACCUGCCCAAGAGUGCUUCAUUAAUGAGCACCAAUAGCUACACACAUGUGCAACUCGGGCCUAUUUAUCCAUUUGUUACACAUGACUGCGCUCAUUAUAAAGGGGAACCAUACUUAGAGGAGCCACAGUCUGCCAAAACUUCAACGCUCUCCAAUAAAGCACAAGUCCAUGAGCAGGACAACAGCAGCAGGAAGGAAAGCGUCCUGACUCUGGAACGCUUUCAGCAAUGCUGAACAGCUGAGCAUUUUUGUAAUUGAGUUGUCAGUAGUCCGCCACAUUUGAAUAAUCCAGAGACUUUCCAAAAAGUGACAUAAAACUGGCUUUAAAUGAGAGUGCGCAGAGCUCACCCUCUGAGCACAACUGGUUCCUAUGGAUGCCCAACUUCCACGAGUCUGACAAGGACUUGUUGCCAUCUAGUGGGUUAUAAUCGACAGAAUGCACUUGGUCCUUUGACACAGCAAAUGCCACUAGAUGGAGUAUCAAGAGCUCUGAAUCCGUAUUACUUUAGGUGUCCAGCAGCUGAGGUUUUCUAAUUCUCAAGAAGUUACAGGCCCAGAAUUACAGGGCAAUUGAAGAGAACUUCCCCAACUGCUUUCAGUUUCAUGAGACAUCCCAGACUACAGAUUUCCAAGUAUAAUAAUGUUACAAUACUCUGAUGUCAGCAUAAUCUACCAGCCCCAGGAGUGUCUCACUGUAACACAGGCAUCCCCACAGCUUUCACAGAGGUAUCCAGCAGAAAAGCUCUCACGCAACCUGCGUGCUGCUGUCAAUAGUGAUGUGCAGAACUGCUCUGUGAAGAGCUGAUCAGCGGCGGAUACGGGAAUCCUCACCUCCAGGAGUAAGCGUUAGCUCUAAAACUUCUCAGUCUCUACCGUGAAGUAUGAACUAAUGCCUUUGAAUUAUCUCAAAGAGAACAUGCACCUCAUCACAUAGCAAGAAAGGGGUACUUACUGCCCAUGGGGUUCACAGGAGGGACGGGAGAGGAGGAACUCAUCUGCUCCACAUCUGCAGCUAAUGGGAAAGUGAAAGAGACAGUUGGGAUGUGCAUGUUACCAAGAAGUCUUUACUUUUGAAAACUUUCAUGUACAUUUCAACUGAAUAUGUGUAUCUUGGGUCAUCUGAGGAAGAUGCUUUGAGAAGCAGUUUAGCAAUGUCGUUCUCUCCUCUUUCAAGGUAUUUCUAUCUCAUACAUGGUAUCUGCAGAUCUGCUGUUCUGAGCAGUCAGUCAUAUUGGUAGCCUCUAACUUGAGAUGGUUUGAGAAUAUCAAUUCAGAACAAUGUCCCGCACAAAGAAACCCUGAAUGUCAGCCUUGAACUGCAUACAGUAUUAACUUGAGCGGAGCAUGACUGGGAAUGACAGGACAGUCCCCAUCUGCGUCCAGUGCACCUGUGAAAGAUCCCCGACAGGAAGAGGCAUCCCCUCCCGAAGGUUUGCAAAACGCCGGCAGUGGAUGUGAAGCAGUAUCAGCAACGAGCGUCUUUAAACACAGACACUCCAAAAGCUUUAUUUUCUGACAGCUGAAAGAAGAAACAGAACUACCUUCCUGCCUUUGCCAAUUAAAACCCCAGAGUCAGAACAUGAUCUGAACCAGAUCCCCUCUGCAUUUUGAGAAGGAUCCAGCUUUCCAGGACCCAAAUCAGGAAAGAACCAUCUUCCAGUAACAGCGUUAGUUUCAACUUAACAUGAGGUGAAGAAAGAACACAUUCUUUGGGGCCUGGUCUCUCUCAAAAAGCCACAUUCACUCUUACCACAUCACCACAAGUGCCCAAGUCAAACAAACCAGUCUCCAUCUCCAUCAUGUUGAUGCUAGCAGAUACCACAUAAUUAUAUGUUAUGUAAUUCUCACUUUGCUUUAAGACCCAGUAAACGCAUUCUACAAGUUUACAUUCCUAACCACAGAACAGGGUCCCAGAAGCAUAAGCCCAGCCCACAGCCAGGCUUGGCCACCGCUCCCAGUGCCGCGUUUCGCAUUCUUACCGUUCCAGUUCCCGCAGCCCUGCACGCCACUGGCACUCUGGAAGUGCCAAGCUCUGCUCUAAUUAGGCAAACCACAAACAAAUGUAAACACUUCAGCAGACCGUGUUCACCGAAUGUGGAGAGCAGCCGCAGCACCACGCUCAGACCCACUCCAUCCUCCUGCCGCGCCGAGCAAGCGCGCCACCUGAUGCUCUCGGUGCUGCUGCACAACACUCGCAGCUUUGGUUUAACAUGCUGAGUACCGGUGACAACACAAUGACAGUUUCAUCCGGACAUGCCAUGGGUUAUUCCUGUCCUCUAUUGAAUUAUCAAGACAUUUCCUGCCUGGAACAUCUAAACAUUCAUUUACAAUCUCACUUGGCUCUUCUUUGCAGUUCUGCACCAAACGUUCCGAAGGCUGCGUGUGCCGUGCAGGCUGCGGCAUUCCCGACGUCCUCGAGAACCUCCCGCGGACCGCUGAUCUGCUUACAGGAAAAGCUGGAUUUUGUCUUCCCAUUUUCCACCUUAUUGCUGUAAUCUCCCUAAUGUGGGAAGAUCCUUCAUACGCAUCACAGCAAUUGCAAAAACCUGGAAAGGGUUUAUUUUUUUUCCUAUGUAAAGCUGCACGUGUUUUCACAUAUAGUCAAAAUAACCUGAGAAGUGCAGACUGAAGUUACUUUUGCCGUGGGAGCGGUGAGCCGGAGCCCGUGUGCGAGCCGGGAGCGCGGCUCGGCUGCCGGCGCCAGAUGGCGGCUCAGAGGUACCUGCUGCCGGGCAGAUGGCCGGAGCGCCCGGGCACAGGAACCCUGCGUGAGCAACGGCUACACCUGCAGACAUCUGCAAUAGCCAAAUAACAAACGUGCUGUCUAAAGUGACGCUUCUGAGCGGGAAGCAUUUAGAGAGCCACUGGAAAUUUAAGUCCCAUAGUUUUAAUCAUUCACCGUAAUGCCACCUUAAAGGCUAUAGACAGCAAAAGGCUAACAGCAUUUCCUAGCUAUACUUGGAAAGGAUAACUUCAGUUAAUGCUCAAAAUUAUAGAUUUUAAUUGCUAUUUCUUACACGUUCGCCAAGACUAUCACGCUGCGGACACAGCUGCCUGGCUGCUCGAGUGCCAAGUUUACAGUUGCCUCAGUGUCCCAUCCAGUGCUGCUGUGAACCAGCGAUGGGGGGACGCAGUGGGGACACCUCUGCAUCCAUCCGUGUGCUCCUGGCAGAUGGGUGUUUGUACUCGAUUAAUACCAAAAUCAUACUUCAACUUAUUUUUUACCAAGUAUAUAAAAGCACAAGUACUUAUCCUACAACUUGCCUUGAAUGGGUGGAAUUCUACGUUUCUCUCAUCCAUGUAAAUGAAUAUUAAAAAUUUCAAGCAGCUCUUUAUUAAACACAGCAA